rfam:Trichobilharzia regenti genome assembly, scaffold: TRE_scaffold0045108
AUCCAGCUGACGAGUCCCGAAUAGGACGAAAUGCACAUCCUGGCUGGAU